rnacentral:rRNA from 1 species
GAAGUGAGUGGCGAACGGGUGAGUAACACGUGGGUAACCUGCCCAGAAGUAGGGGAUAACACCUGGAAACAGAUGCUAAUACCGUAUAACAGAGAAAACCGCAUGGUUUUCUUUUAAAAGAUGGCUCUGCUAUCACUUCUGGAUGGACCCGCGGCGUAUUAGCUAGUUGGUGAGGUAAAGGCUCACCAAGGCAGUGAUACGUAGCCGACCUGAGAGGGUAAUCGGCCACAUUGGGACUGAGACACGGCCCAGACUCCUACGGGAGGCAGCAGUAGGGAAUCUUCCACAAUGGACGCAAGUCUGAUGGAGCAACGCCGCGUGAGUGAAGAAGGGUUUCGGCUCGUAAAGCUCUGUUGUUAAAGAAGAACGUGGGUAAGAGUA